rnacentral:rRNA from 1 species
GACAGAGGUGCCGAGCGUUAGGCGGAAUCACUGGGCUUAAAGCGUGUGUAGGCGGGCGGGCAAGUACCUUGUGAAAUCCCACGGCUCAACCGUGGAACGGCUGGGUAUACUGCCUGUCUUGAGCCAACUAGGGGCGAGCGGAACAGACGGUGGAGCGGUGAAAUGCGUAGAUAUCGUUUGGAACGCCAAUGGUGAAAACAGGUAACUGGGGAUGUGCCGACGCUGAGACACGAAAGCCAGGGGAGCGAACGGG